ACGAUUUUUCUAUUUCAGACUAUCAGCCUUAUCGGCAAUUCCUUAGGAAAUAUUUCUCUUAGAAACGAGAAAAAAAAUAUUCGAAAAUAAUGUUCGAAAAGUUUGACAUUUCAUUUUAAAGAAAAAACAAAGAAGUUAGCUUUGAUACAAAAUAAUUACAUUUGUUAAACAUUAAAUUAAAUAUUUAUAAAAAUGCAAAGAAUAGCAGUUUUGUUGUUAUUAGAGGAAGAAGAGUCAAGAAGGAGAAAUGAGCCGAGAGCCAUACGACGCAAUUUGAGAGCAUUCUAAUCCUUUGGAGCUUCCCCUAGCACUAUUUCACAAUUAUUAUAGAGUAAGUAAGCCGUUGUUCAAAUAUUUGGUCGAAAAACUGUCUGAUUUUUACCUCAUGCAAAGAAACCUGGCGCUGUUCCUCCUUAUAUAAAAAUAAGUGCAUGUUUGCGCUUCUUUGCCAAAGGAGGAGGAGUGGGGAAGAAUCAUGAAGUUGGGUUGGCUCAAUCUUCAUUUUCUGAAGUCCUUUAAGUUGUCUUGUGUUUUUUUGAGAGUGAAAUGUGCCCGGUAUGGAUUAAAACACCGACGACCGAAGAAGAAAAAAGAAAAAUCAGUAUGAAUUUGUACGGGAAACAUAAAAUAGGCUGUGUAGACGGCACUCAUAUCAAAAUAAUUGAUCCUCCAGAUAAUAAACAUUUGUAUUUCAACCGAAAAGGAUAUUUCAGCUUAAAUGUCUUACUUAGAUAACUCACAUAUCAACAGAUAACUUUCCGGAUUCCCUUGCAAAAUUGUAACGGAAUAUUUCUCGAGAAAGCGAAGGAAAUUUCCCAUAAAAAAAUAGUUCACGAUAGGUAAAUAUUUCUCGCGGAAUUUUUUCCUAAUUUCGAAAUUA